GGAUUCCAGGAGCUGGAGAGCCCAUGUGAGGAUGUUCUCAAGUGCUGUCAAUGACACGUGAGUUUGUCCCAAGUCUCUGGAGAAGAAAGCCCAGACAAAUGAGGACCCCAACACAAGUAUUCUGUACUUAAGCAGUCCAUAGGUCCAAGGCAGGAAGACACAGGGAAAGGGCCUGGGUGAAGGAGAGAAGCUCAUGGCAAAGCAAACAGGAAGCAGAGAGAAUAGAGCGAGGAGGAGGGAGGAAGAUAAACCCUUCCGGGCCACGCCCCAGUGGCCUGCCUCUUCCAACCAGGCCCCACCUCAGCUAUAAUCCCUCUAUCAUCCAAUCACC